rnacentral:snRNA from 1 species
GUGCUCACUUUGGCAGCACAUAUACAAAAACUGGAAUGAUACAGAGAAGAUUAACAUGGCCCCUGCGCAAGGAUGACAUGCAAAUUCAUGAAGCGUUCCAUAUUUUU